AACGAACGCUGGCGGCAUGCCUAACACAUGCAAGUCGAACGAGACCUUCGGGUCUAGUGGCGCACGGGUUCGUAACGCGUGGGAACCUGCCUUUAGGUUCGGAAUAACUCAGAGAAAUUUGAGCUAAUACCGGAUGAUGUCUUCGGACCAAAGAUUUAUCGCCUUUAGAUGGGCCCGCGUUGGAUUAGCUAGUUGGUGGGGUAAAGGCCUACCAAGGCGACGAUCCAUAGCUGGUCUGAGAGGAUGAUCAGCCACACUGGGACUGAGACACGGCCCAGACUCCUACGGGAGGCAGCAGUGGGGAAUAUUGGACCAUGGGCGAAAGCCUGAUCCAGCAAUGCCGCGUGAGUGAUGAAGGCCUUAGGGUUGUAAAGCUCUUUUACCCGAGAUGAUAAUGACAGUAUCGGGAGAAUAAGCUCCGGCUAACUCCGUG
rnacentral:rRNA from 1 species